GCACAAGCGGUGGAGCAUGCGGUUUAAUUCGAAGCAACGCGAAGAACCUUACCUGGCCUUGACAUGCUGAGAACUUUCUAGAGAUAGAUUGGUGCCUUCGGGAACUCAGACACAGGUGCUGCAUUGGCUGUCGUCAGCUCGUGUCGUGAGAUGUUGGGUUAAGUCCCGUAACGAGCGCAACCCUUGUCCUUAGUUGCUACAUUCAGUUGGGCACUCUAAUGAGACUGCCGGUGACAAGCCGGAGGAAGGUGGGGAUGACGUCAAGUCCUCAUGGCCCUUAUAGGUGGGGCUACACACGUCAUACAAUGGCUGGUACAAAGGGUUGCCAACCCGCGAGGGGGAGCUAAUCCCAUAAAGCCAGUCGUAGUCCGGAUCGUAGUCUGCAACUCGACUACGUGAAGUCGGAAUCGCUAGUAAUCGUGGAUCAGAAUGUCACGGUGAAUACGUUCCCGGGUCUU
rnacentral:rRNA from 1 species